rnacentral:RNase_P_RNA from 2 species
CCAGACGGCCGGAUGGCCGCGCUUCGCCUUCGGGCGGGGCGAGGAAAGUCCGGGCUCCACGGAAGCACGGUGCCGGGUAACGCCCGGCGGGGGCGACCCCAGGGACAGUGCCACAGAAAGCAAACCGCCACCGGGCUUAAGGCCCGGCGGUAAGGGUGAAAGGGUGCGGUAAGAGCGCACCGCGCGCCCGGCGACGGGAGCGGCACGGCAAACCCCACCGGGAGCAAGACCCAAUAGGGACGGCACGCCGGCGCCCGCGCCGGCAGGCGGCUUCCGCGCCGCCGUCCGGGUCGGUCGCGCGAGGCGCCCGGCAACGGGCGUCCCAGAGGAAUGGUCAUCCCCCGUGCUUCGACGCGCGGGGACAGAACCCGGCUUACAGGCCGUCUGGCUCU